rnacentral:rRNA from 1 species
AGUGAACGCUGGCGGCAGGCCUAACACAUGCAAGUCGAACGGCAGCACAGUAAGUGCUUGCUCUUACGGGUGGCGAGUGGCGGACGGGUGAGGUAUACAUCGGAAUCCACUCUUUCGUGGGGGAUAACGUAGGGACACCUACGACAAUAUCCCAUACGACUCACGGGUGAAAGCAUGGGAUCUUCGGACCUUGUGCGAUUGAACGAGCCGAUGUUGGAUUUGUUAGUUGGCGGGGUAAAGGCCCACCAAGGCGACGAUCCGUAGCUGGUCUGAGAGGCUGGUCGGCCGCCCUGGAGCUGGGACACGGUCCCGACUCCUGCGAGAGGCAGCAGUGGGGAAUAUUGGGCAGUAGGCGCGAGCCUGGUCCAGCCGUCCCGCGUGUGUGAAGAAGGCCUUCGGGUUGUGAAGCCCUUUUGUUGGGAGAGAAAAGCAGCCAGUUAAUACCCCGCUGUUCUGACGGUACCCGAAGAAUAAGCACCGGCUAACUUCGUG